AGUGAAUAGAUACCCGGGUAGUCCUGGCCCUAAACUAUGUUCAUUGGGUGUUAGAGGUAUCGACCCCUCUAGUGCCGUAGCUAAACGCGUUAAAUGAACCGCCUGGGGAUUACGACCGCAAGGUUAAAACUCAAAAGAAUUGACGGGGGCCCGCACAAGCGGUGGAGCAUGUGGUUUAAUUCGAUGCUACGCGAACAACCUUACCUGGGCUUGACAUGCUAGUAGUAGCGAACCGAAAGGGGAGCGAUCCAUAGCAAUAUGGAAGCUAGCACAGGUGCUGCAUGGCUGUCGUCAGUUCGUGUCGUGAGAUGUUUGGUUAAGUCCAACAACGAACGCAACCUCCAUCUCUAGUUGACAACGUAAAGUCGGUCACUCUAGCGAAACUGCCCCUGAUGAAGGGGAGGAAGGUGGGGAUGAGGUCAAGUCAUCAUGGCCUUUAUGCCCAGGGCUACACACGUGCUACAAUGCAGUGCACAAAGGGAUGCGAAUCCGUAAGGAAGAGCAAAUCUCAAAAAACACUGCUCAGUUCGGA
rnacentral:rRNA from 1 species